AAGCGAGAUGGCGACAUGGAGCAAAUCCCAAAAAUAACGUCCCAGUUCGGAUUGCAGCCUGCAACUCGGCUGCAUGAAGCUGGAAUCGCUAGUAAUCGCGGAUCAGAAUGCCGCGGUGAAUACGUUCCCGGGUCUUGUACACACCGCCCGUCACACCAUGGGAGUAGGUAAUGCCCGAAGUCGGUGACCUAACCGGAAGGAAGGAGCCGCCGAAGGCAGGACUUAUAACUGGGGUGAAGUCGUAACAAGGUACC
rnacentral:rRNA from 1 species